rnacentral:lncRNA from 1 species
UUGUUAUCCCCAAACCCUAGCAACAGCCGCUGUGCACUCAUCCCUUCUUUGUUUUCUCUUUCAAGUUCAAGUCCCAAACUUUCUCUUCUAAUUUCUUCUACUCUCAUUUUUUGUUUGUGAAUUAUUCUCUAUUACUUUGUUCCUCUCCAACAAUUUUUGUUUCUACUCCUUGUCUCUCAAAACAACUCUAUAUAUUUGCAGAUCUAAAUGUUUGUCAUUGCUUUUGUUUGUUUAUAUUUUUUACAGAUCCGG